CAAGACUUUGAUGAAAUUAAGUUGAUAUUUUGAGAGUUUAUAGAUUUUCAAGUAUAAUUCAUGUUGAAUAAAAUAGUGAAUUAAGGGUUUAAUUGAGUAAAUUUCAAGCUAGAAUUGAUAAUAGGAUCAAAUUGUAAAGUAAGUUAUAAGUUUUAUGUUGUAGGGACUAAAUUGAUGAAAUUUUGAAAUUAGGAAAGUAUGCUGGAAAUUUAAUAUUUAAAUGUGAGUAUGGAUGAAAUUUGAAUAGAAAUAAGGUAUGAAUUAAGAUAGAAAGUAAGUGAAUUUAGUUAGAAUUAAAUUGAAAUUAAAGUAAAUCAACAUUUUGUACUAAGACUAUUUUG
rnacentral:lncRNA from 1 species